CUUCCCUCGCUUUCUCAUGUGUCACGUGACUGUAAAUAACUGUUUAACACUUUAAUUUGAUUAAUUUACUAAUACGGUAUAUUGUUUAAUAUGUAAAGUGAUUUAAGUGAAGUGAUUUAAGAAGAAAGAAGAAGAAUAUUAUUAUUUGGCUAAUACCAAAAGAAUUAUACAAUCAAGAGAUAAAUGACAUUGGCAGAGAAGCGCAGCCAUCGGGAAUGUAAUCAUAAACGGCCAAAAGAAGAAGAAGAAGACCAGAAGAAUUAUAUAUAUAUACAAUCAAGAGAUAAAUGACGUUGGCAGAGGUGCAAUAUCAUCAGGAAUGUAACCAAACGAAAAUUCAAUCAAAGUGAGUGUUUUCUCAACAAUUUUUAUCCGAUAAUUAGAAUAAUUAAAGGUACUAUAAAUUCAGGUAAUUAAAUCAAAUUAAAAUUGACAAAAAAAUUUCAAAUUCCAAAAACAAGUUAAACCAAAUGCGGUAAAUU